rnacentral:rRNA from 1 species
UGAGGAAUAUUGGUCAAUGGGCGCAAGCCUGAACCAGCCAUCCCGCGUGCAGGAAGACGGCACUAUGCGUUGUAAACUGCUUUUCCAGGGGGAGAAACUUGCGCACGUGUUGCGCAAUUGACGGUACCCUGGGAAUAAGCAUCGGCUAACUCCGUGCCAGCAGCCGCGGUAAUACGGAGGAUGCGAGCGUUAUCCGGAUUCAUUGGGUUUAAAGGAUGCGUAGGCGGACUAUUAAGUCAGUGGUGAAAUCCUGCAGCUUAACUGCAGAACUGCCAUUGAUACUGAUAGCCUUGAGUUUGGUUAAGGUAGGCGGAAUGUGUAAUGUAGCGGUGAAAUGCUUAGAUAUUACACAGAACACCAAUUGCGUAGGCAGCUUACUGAGCCGACACUGACGCUGAGGCACGAAAGCGUGGGGAUCGAACAG